ACGGGAGGCAGCAGUGGGGAAUAUUGCACAAUGGGGGAAACCCUGAUGCAGCAACGCCGCGUGAAGGAUGAAGGUCUUCGGAUCGUAAACUUCUGUCCUUAGGGAAGAUAAUGACGGUACCUUUGGAGGAAGCCCCGGCUAACUACGUGCCAGCAGCCGCGGUAAUACGUAGGGGGCAAGCGUUAUCCGGAAUUAUUGGGCGUAAAGAGUGCGUAGGUGGUUACCUAAGCAGGGGGUGAAAGGCAUUGGCUUAACCAAUGUUAGCCCCCUGAACUGGGCUACUUGAGUGCAGGAGGGGAAAGCGGAGUUCCUAGUGUAGCGGUGAAAUGCGUAGAUAUUAGGAGGAACACCGGUGGCGAAGGCGGCUUUCUGGACUGUAACUGACACUGAGGCACGAAAGUGUGGGGAGCAAACAGGAUUAGAUACCCUGGUA
rnacentral:rRNA from 1 species